GACAGAGGCCUCAAGCGUUAGGCGGAAUCACUGGGCUUAAAGCGUGUGUAGGCGGAUCGUUAAGUGUCUUGUGAAAUCCCACGGCUCACCCGUGGAACUGCUGGGCAUACUGGCGAUCUUGGGCCAACUAGGGGCAACUGGAACAAGCGGUGGAGCGGUGAAAUGCGCAGAUAUCGCUUGGAACGCCAACGGUGAAAACAGGUUGCUGGGGUUGUGCCGACGCUGGAGAACACGAAAGCCAGGGGAGCAAACGGG
rnacentral:rRNA from 1 species